AUACGUAGGUGACAAGCGUUAUCCGGAUUUACUGGGCGUAAAGGGCGUGUAGGCGGUCUUGCAAGUCAGAAGUGAAAUUCCUGAGCUCAACUCGGGCGCUGCUUCUGAAACUGCAGGACUUGAGUGCUGGAGGGGAUAGCGGAAUUCCUAGUGGAGCGGUAAAAUGCGCAGAUAUUAGGAAGAACACCGGUGGGGAAGGCGGCUAUCUGGACAGUAUCUGACGCUGAGGCGCGAAAGCGGGGGGAGCAAACAGGAUUAGAUACCCUGGUAGACCACGCCGUAAACGAGGAAUACUAGGGGUAGGGGGUAUCGACUCCCUCUGUGCCGCAGUUAACACAAUAAGUAGUCCGCCUGGGGAGUACGGCCGCAAGGUUGAAACUCAAAGGAAUUGACGGGG
rnacentral:rRNA from 1 species